GACGAGCGCUGGCGGCGUGCUUAACACAUGCAAGUCGAACGGUAAGGCCCUUCGGGGUACGCGAGUGGCGAACGGGUGAGUAACACGUGGGUGAUCUGCCCUGCACUUCGGGAUAAGCCUGGGAAACUGGGUCUAAUACCGGAUAGGACCACUGCCUGCAUGGGUGGUGGUGGAAAGCUUUUGCGGUGUGGGAUGGGCUCGCGGCCUAUCAGCUUGUUGGUGGGGUGAUGGCCUACCAAGGCGACGACGGGUAGCCGGCCUGGGAGGGUGACCGGCCACACUGGGAGUGAGAUACGGCCCAGACUCCGACGGGAGGCAGCAGUGGGGAAGGUUGCACAAUGGGCGCAAGCCUGAUGCCGCGACGCCGCGUGAGGGAUGACGGCCUUCGGGUUGUAAACCUCUUUCAGCACCGACGAAGCGCAAGUGACGGUAGGUGCAGAAGAAGGACCGGCCAACUACGUGCCAGCCGCCGCGGUAA
rnacentral:rRNA from 1 species